UACGUAGGCAGCAAGCGUUGUUCGGAGUUACUGGGCGUAAAGGGUGUGUAGGCGGUUCUUUAAGUUUGGUGUGAAAUCUCCCGGCUCAACUGGGAGGGUGCGCCGAAUACUGAGGGACUAGAGUACGGGAGAGGAAAGUGGAAUUCCUGGUGUAGCGGUGAAAUGCGUAGAUAUCAGGAGGAACACCGGUGGCGAAGGCGGCUUGCUGGACCUGGUCUGACGCUGAGGCGCGAAAGCGUGGGGAGCGAACAGG
rnacentral:rRNA from 1 species